rnacentral:rRNA from 1 species
GAAUAUUGCACAAUGGGCGCAAGCCUGAUGCAGCGACGCCGCGUGGGGGAUGAAGGCCUUCGGGUUGUAAACUCCUUUCGCUAUCGACGAAGCCACUUGUGGUGACGGUAGGUAGAUAAGAAGCACCGGCUAACUACGUGCCAGCAGCCGCGGUAAUACGUAGGGUGCAAGCGUUGUCCGGAAUUACUGGGCGUAAAGAGCUCGUAGGUGGUUUGUCGCGUCGUCUGUGAAAUCCCGGGGCUUAACUUCGGGCGUGCAGGCGAUACGGGCAUAACUUGAGUGCUGUAGGGGAGACUGGAAUUCCUGGUGUAGCGGUGAAAUGCGCAGAUAUCAGGAGGAACACCGAUGGCGAAGGCAGGUCUCUGGGCAGUAACUGACGCUGAGGAGCGAAAGCAUGGGUAGCGAACAGGAUUAGAUCACGGGG